rnacentral:rRNA from 1 species
UACGUAGGGUGCGAGCGUUAAUCGGAAUUACUGGGCGUAAAGCGUGCGCAGACGGCUUGCCAAGUCAGAUGUGAAAGCCCCGGGCUUAACCUGGGAACGGCGUUUGAAACUGGCAGGCUAGAGUUUGGCAGAGGGGGGUGGAAUUCCACGUGUAGCAGUGAAAUGCGUAGAGAUGUGGAGGAACACCGAUGGCGAAGGCAGCCCCCUGGGCCAAAACUGACGCUCAGGCACGAAAGCGUGGGGAGCAAACAGG